CGGAAGAGAGGAUGAGUGCCACCGGAUCCCAUCAGAACUCCGAAGUUAAGCGUGCUUGGGCGAGAGCAGUACUAGGAUGGGUGACCCGAAGUCCUCGUGUUGCACCU
rnacentral:rRNA from 1 species